UGCAGUAUCUAAGCAUUUCACAGUCUUCAGUGUAUUUAUCUUCACAACAGCCCUGUGAGGUAGGGCAGGGCUAAUAUCCCCAUCAUACAGAUAGGGACAGAGACACUAAGUUAUUUGCCCAUGACCACACAG